CACAUAUCUCUUGGACAAUCAGAGUCUUCAUUGCAGGUAAAUUGACUUAAGGGAAAUUCAACUGUGAUGUAAAUAAGAAUAAAUGAAUGUUACUAAAAGAUGAUGAAAUAUUAUGUAUAAGAUAAAGAAAAAAAAAUUGAAAAUAUAUAGUAGUAUGAAAAAUGACUUACUCCCAUUGGUUACAACAAGAAAUAGAGAAAUAAAAGUAAUUAAAACAUAAAGGAACUUGAGAAUUAAAGCCAUAUUUUUUUUUCCUCCUUUGCAUAUAAUAAAUAGACAAUUGUUUGAUCAAUUUAUAUAGUCAAAAUUUCAUGAUUUUUUUACUUCAACAAAUAGGAGUUGCAAGAAACCAAUCAUAAAAUUUUAAUUAUUAAUUGUACAUUAACGUGUUUUACAUGUUUACCUCUUUAGCUCAUCCAAUUGAUAGCGUAACCUCAUCAAAGUUCAUUUAAAUUUUUAUAUAUUAAACUUUAUUUAUUUUAUUUAUUUAUUUCAUGAUAAUCAAGGGAAAAAUUCCAAAAGAGCAUAGUAGUGAUGAAAACGGUUAAUUAUAAAAAAUUAAGAUAAUUAAUGGGAAAAUAAUUAGAAUGAUGGGCAUUGGUUCGUACUAGCAAUUAUUAAAAAAUAAAAUAAGCAAUGCAUAUGAAACUUGAGACAAAUUAUUUCAUAUUAUUUUGCCAAUAUACUCUCAUGAAAGUUGAAACACCAAUUAACCCAAUUAUUCCACGAAACUUUGAAUUGGAUCAUAAAAUAAAUAAAAAAACAAUUACAAUAGGGUUUAAGAAAAAUAAAUAAAAUAAAAAACCUAAAUAUUGCUAAGGUUAAGGGUUGAGAGUUUAGUUUUCAUUUGAGGCCUCAACAAUAUUACUUACUAAACUAAUAAAAUACUUAAAAUUUAAAUGUCAUAUUUUAUAUUUAUAACAAAAUGGAACAUUUUUUAGGCCUUUUUUCAUCUGAAAUAAGAAACAAAAAGACUCUCGAAAUGUUGAGUGUUUUUAGGAUUCAUUCAAAGUUUUGGGGAAUAAUUGAGUUCAUUUGAGAGAUUCAUGAGAGUAUUGCAAAAGGAUAAAAAAUAAUUUGUCUAAAGUUUCAUAUGCAUUAUUAUUUUUUUAAUAUUUGCUACUUAGGAAUCAUCACAUUUUUUUCCUUUCUACUUAACAUAUUUAGAUAUCGUUUGACUUAGUUUUUUUUUUUCCUUUUCUUUUUUCUUAGAAGUAAGAUACUAGGCCAAACAACAAUUAUUAAAAGCUUCGGUGAGAAAAAAAUAACUUCUAUAUUUUAAGAAAAAUUAUAAUAUAUUAUCAAACAUAUCUUUUAACCUUAUUAUAAUAAUAUAAAAAAAAAACAACUUUUAACAUUUUUUUUUUAUAAAAAAGUAAGAUUUGCCAAAUAACUUUAAUUUUAAUUUUAAAGCUAUUAUUUUAGCUUUAUGGUUAAAAUAAUUUAUACCCCUAAAAAAAUCUGGGUAAAACGAUACCAUAGUAUAUUACCGAACCAAUGUCAAUUAAUCUAUUUUCCUGCUAAUUAUUGUAAUUUUUUUCUAUAACUAGAAAGUUUUUGUCACUAGCUAGUAGCUACUAUUAUUUCUCUUUUGGAAAUUUCCCUUUACUAUCAUGAAAGGCUAAACGAGAAAUAACAAAAAUAUAAUGAAAGUUUAAUAAAUAAAUAAGAAUGAACUUUGAUGAGAUUAUUAAGUGAUCAAUUGGAUGAGCUAAAGAGGUAAACAAGACACAUUGGUGUAGCUUAUAAACAUUUAACAAUAAUUCAAAUUUUAUCAAUGGUUUAUUUCAACUCUCAAAAAUUAUUUGAUUGAAGUAAAUAAAUCAUGGAAUUUUUACUAUAAAUUGAUGACACAAUUUUCUAUUUAUUACAUGCAAAGAAGAAAAAAAAAUAUGGAUUUGAUUACCAAGUUCAUUUAUGCUUUGAUUAUUUUUAUUUCUCUAUUUCUUGUCGUAACCAACAGCGGUAAGUCAUUUUUCAUACCAUUUUUAAUUUUGCAUCUAUAAUAUAUAUAAUUGGUCUGUUUGAUCCGUAAAAUAUAAGUAUUGAACAAAAUAGUACAUGAAGAACAACAUAAGACAAACAUGUAAAAUAUUGAACUUGUACGAUGUUUUGUUGAAAAAAUGUUAGUUUGAUCUUUUAAACAACUUAUGCGGAGGACAAAAAAUUAUCUCAUGGUGCAGUAGGGCCAAGAAUUUCAACUUUUGUCCAAUCAUUUGCCACUCAAUUUGUUCAGUCUCAGAUGUAAUUUUAAAAUAAAAUAUAAUACAACUAAAAUUAUUAUAUUUUAGUCGUUAAUUUUUAACCGAUUAAACACACACAAUAUUUGAUCAUCUUUUACUAACAUUCAUCUAUUCUUAUUUACUAAUAUGGCAGCUGAAUUUCCUUUGAUUGAUUCCCCAUCAAAAUUUCUCUGCAUUCAUGGAACUGAUUGUCCAUGGGAUUUGUGUAUCCAUCUUGCUCGAACUCCAAGUUGCAUCGAUUUUAUUUGUGAGUGCUAAU
rnacentral:lncRNA from 1 species